rnacentral:rRNA from 1 species
UGGAUGAUGUGGAUUAAUUCGAUGCAACGCGAAGAACCUUACCUACCCUUGACAUGUCCGGAACUUGCCAGAGAUGGCUUGGUGCCCGAAAGGGAAUCGGAACACAGGUGCUGCAUGGCUGUCGUCAGCUCGUGUCGUGAGAUGUUGGGUUAAGUCCCGCAACGAGCGCAACCCUUAUCAUUAGUUGCUACGCAAGGGCACUCUAAUGAGACUGCCGGUGACAAACCGGAGGAAGUGGGGAUGACGUCAAGUCCUCAUGGCCCUUAUGGGUAGGGCUUCACACGUCAUACAAUGGUCGGUACAGAGGGUUGCCAAGCCGCGAGGCGGAGCCAAUCCCACAAAGCCGAUCGUAGUUCGGAUUGUUCUCUGCAACUCGAGAGCAUGAAGUCGGAAUCGCUAGUAAUCGCAGGUCAGCAUACUGCGGUGAAUACGUUCCCGGGUCUU